CUGCCCUGUGCCUCGCUCGGCCUAGAUCAUCACUAUAUCUAGGUCUUGAGCUGGAUGUUCUAUUCGUUACAAGUUUUUAACUUUCAUUAGAACAAUGGGCUAUAUUAAAUGACUUCUUUGAGUACGAAUGCACCGAUAAAUUGUCUCACGGUGUCCUUUUUUGUAAUUAGAAGUUCAGACAUCU
rnacentral:snoRNA from 1 species